rnacentral:misc_RNA from 1 species
GAUGAAGAACGUAGCGAAAUGCGAUACUUGGUGUGAAUUGCAGAAUCCCGUGAACCAUCGAGUCUUUGAACGCAAGUUGCGCCCGAAGCCACUAGGCCGAGGGCACGCCUGACUGGGCGUCACACGCCGUUGCCCCCCCAUCUACUCCUUCGGGAUUGCGGGGGGGCGGAUGAUGGCCUCCCGUGCGCCUAGCCGCGCGGUUGGCAUAAAUACCAAGUCCUCGGCGACGCACGCCACGACAAUCGGUGGUUGCGAAACCUCGGUUGCCCGUCGUGUGCGUUCGUCGCGCAUCGAGGGCUCGAAAAAAUGCUCGGCUCCGGCUGGGCUUUCAACGCGACCCCAGGUCAGGCGGGGUUACCCGCUGAAUUUAAGCAUAUCAAUAAGCGGAGGA